GACGAACGCUGGCGGCGUGCCUAACACAUGCAAGUCGAACGGAAAGGCCAUGCUUUUGUGCGGUGCUCGUGUGGCGCACGGGUGAGUAAAACGCGAGUAACCCGUCCCUGACAUUCGGAUAACUUUUGGAAAAUGGGGCUCAUACAGGAUAGGAGAUCCUGAUGCACGGUGGGGGAUGGAAAGAUUCGGCGGUUGGGGCUGGGCUAGCGGCUUAUCAGCUUGUUUGGGGGGUAGUGGAUUUCGAAGGCUUUGACGGGUACGCUGCCUGAGAGGGGUGCCGGCGACAAGAGGACUGAGAGACGGCCCAGUCUCCUACGUGAGGCAGCAGUGGAAAAUAUUGCGCAAUAGGGCGGAGCCUGAUACGACGGCGCCGGGUGCGGGAUGACGGGCUUCGGGUUGUGAACCGCUGUCGCCUGUGACGAAGCGGGAGUGACGGUAAUGAGUAAAGAAGCACCGGCUAACUACGUG
rnacentral:rRNA from 1 species